ACACCAUUGUGUCUGGUGGAAGUUAUUGAAGAAUAUUGCUUAAAAAACAAGCAUAGAACUAUAGGAGAAAAAGCGACAUUAGAUCCUUUGUUUUAUGUUCUUUUUUCAGAAAGCACAAUGAAGAGAAACAGGAGAAGUCAGCAGAAGUUGGCCUCUAACAAAAGCGUGUUGAAUUUUACACAUUUAGAUAUCCGAAAACGACUCGACUGCCCGAAAGCCAUGACUCUCAGGAAGAGGUCCGUUGCCGGCCCGAAUGGAGACUAUCACCUCCAUGCCUGCAUUAACACGGCAAUGCCACUCGUAAAAACAGGCGAAAAUACCGCCUCAACUCCAUAUUAUCCCUAAUUGGAAAUCAGCGAAUCCUAAUUGGGAUGGAUGCACCCUACAUCUAGAUGUACACAAGUUUUUACCUUUCAAGAUUAUAGGUUAGUGGAGCUUGGAAAGUACCUGCUGUUUUUGCAGCUGUAGCUUCUUCGUACACGUCGGUCACAAACAAAAUCUGCGAUGGAUUGUCCACUCCUAGAGUUUCGGUGAUGUGCACGUAGGAUCUCAUUUCUUUCUUGUUUCUUCAUAAAACCAAGAGAAAUGUCAGCCUAGUCACAUGACGCGAUGCAAGAAUUUGAAGUCGAUAAGCCUUACCCUAUCGUGGUGUCAAAAAACCCGCACAAGUACUUCCUCAGGUCCCCGUACUUGGUGUUGCCAAACAAGAGCUUCUGAGCUAGUCUGCUCCCACUGGAAUAUAUAUACACCUACAAGAAAAGGGAUUGUGAGAAAGAAUGAUUGUAAAUGGAUUGCAAUAUUAGUUGAUUUCCACAAAUCAUUAUGCAGCUACCUCCAAUAUAUCUAACCAACCAAAGCAUUAUUCGGAAAUUUUAUGAUAUUGGCAAAAUAAAUCAUCUUAAUCUAUCCUAUCACACAAAAUAACCCCCACCCCAAAAAGGUCUUUUUGCACCUUACCUUAUUGCAACAUUUGGACUGUUAACUCUAUUUCUAAAGUUCAAGAAAAUACACCAAAUUGUUAUUCAAGAAUCCUAUGUACAUCUUAGGCCAUGACUGUAUUCAAACGGUGUUAAGCUUUUACAGUCAAGCUAUUUUUCUGCAGAACCUGCCUUUUACAGUAUCGUCACCAGAGUCGAGUUUAUCUACUAAUAAUCAUUUUGUCUGCAGCCACAUAGGCUCUUACAGGCAUGUUUUUCUGUUUGCGAGUUUAGCCAAAGAAAAGAGACUAGUAAACAGAUUCAUAGAGAUAGAUUUGCACAAGGUAAUGCAGGAUGAAAGUAAUAACCUUUAUUCCAAGAGAAUGCCACUUCUCGAGAGCUUCAGGAACGUCAUCAAAUACAACUCCCUCUAACUCGUGAUUCAGAAAUCCAGUUCGCCAUAUAUGACCCUGGAUGAAAAGUAUGUACAAGAAUUUCAAAUGGAUAAUAUGUAUUGGAAAUUUGCAAUGUUGGUCCUAUUAGAAAAUUUUCAUUUUCAUUUGUAGUUUUGUUCCCUGUCAGGAAAAUAGGUCCCGAAACAUGCUUGUUGGUACUUCCAUCAGGAUUCCGUCAAUAACUCUAGUUAGCAAUUUUAGCUCACCAAUUUUGAUAUUUUAUUUUUUGUUCUUAAUUUUAAUUAAUUAAAAUAUUGAACCAAUACAAACAUAUUCAUUUUUAAUUAAAGUAACAACGUAUGGAGUAAUAUGGCCCACAUAACUGAUUCUCAAUAAUCUAUAGUCGUAAAAGUUAGAAAAUGUUAAAAAAAAUGUAUAAAAGAUACUCCCUCCGUCCACUAAUUCAAGGCCUUCUUUCCUUUUUGGGNAGUACUACUACUCUCUCUCUCUCUCUCUAUAUAUAUAUAUAUAUAUAUAUAUAUAUAUAUAUAUAUAUAUAGGGGAGGUUCAAGAAAGAACCAUAAUAAAAAAGACGGAGAACCAUUUCAGCCAUUCGAUUAUCAAGAUCUACGGUGGGAUGUAUCAUCUUGUUGGAUGAAUGCAGAUCUUGGGGUUCGAAUCCUGAAGGGGAGCAAUUUUUUUUUAUUUUUUUGAGUGCAUUAAUUUUAACAGCGAAUGCAUUAAUUUUUACAGUGAAUGCAUUAGAUUUGAUGGUUCUCUCGUUCUCACAAAUAAUGUAGUUCUCUCUAGAACCCAACUCUAUAUAUGUAUAUAUAUUAUAUAUAUAUAUAUAUAUAUAUAUAUAUAUAUAUAUAUAUAUAUAUAUUGUGAAUUUACCCAUGUGAAUUUAAAUAUCCAAUAUUUAAAAUUUAAAAUCACCAAUAGUAAAUUUAUGAAUUUAUACUUAGAAUUUAUAUUUUUUUGAAAAAUAUCAUUUUCUUGUGAAUUUAUAUAUUUUUAGAUAAAUUUAUAUUGAAAUAUCCAAUAUAAAUUUAUAGUUUUGUAAAAAUUUAUCAAUUUCAAUUAAAUCUUUUGUGAAAAACAUCCAAUAUUUAAAAUUUAUAAUAUAAAUAUAUAUAAAUUACAUGGGAUCUUGUAGUCAUUUGCAAAAGUGAAUAUUAUUUUUCAUUUACACGCAAUUUUUGACUAUAGAUUGUUUUUUAAUUCAAGAAAAUAAAAACUUAUUUACGAACUCUAGCAAUAUCUCAUAUUAAUUCUUACUUAUUUACACACUAAACAAAGGGAUUGGUAUGCAUGAUCAAUGGGAUUUUUUGUAUGAUCUUCACAGCUAAACAGACGAUGAAGAAGCCUUAUUUCAAGGUAUACAUGGCGUCAAAUUUGUGGGAGAGAGAGAGAUAGAGAGGGUGAUAGAGUGAAAUGUGUAAUUUGACAACAUUCCUUAUAUAUCUCAAAAAAUGCAGCAACUUUUUAUUAUAUCAAACCAAAAUCAACUCCAUUGUCAAAGCAUCUCAUUUAAUAUAAUAUAUUAAAUAUAUAAGUUUCAUAUAUAUCUCCCAUGAAAUGUGCAUCCUCAUGGCCUAUAUAAACUAACUUUUCGUGUUAAAAUUUUACUUACACUCCCUUCUCAUUUUGAUAUUCAUCAUUUCUCUAAUCACAAGCAUGCCGACCAUGUGGUCUAUAGUAAAAAACUUGCAACCAAAUAAUGCCAGAUCUACAAUUAAAAUGAGACUUGUGCGUGCAUACAACCGCUCAUCUCAAAGCACCAAUAAUGUUAUCAGCUAUGAGUGUAUUUUUCAUGAUCGUGAGGUAAAAAUUCUCUAUUCACUAAACUAUUGCGUAUUUAAGCAUUUUUGCAACAUUAUUAUGUUUUCUAAUUUAGUUAUUUUUAAUAUAGGGUGACCGCAUCCAUGCUACACUUGAUCGCACGUUGAUCCCCAAGUUCAAACAUAUCUUGAAAGAAGACAGUGUUUAUGCCAUAAAAUUUUUUUGGGUGAUGCAUGAUUCCAACGAAAAAUAUAGAACAACGACAAAUGUCUACUAUAUUAAAUUUAUUAAUAGUAGUCAUAUAGUUGAAAUUUAUGAAGAAGGUUUUCCACGCCAACUAUUUAACUUUAAAAGUUUUGAAGAAUUGGCCUCCAUUGCAAUGACAAUAUGCUAUUUGGUAAUGUGUUUAUUUCAUUAUUUCCUUAUACAUGCAUAUUCAAUUGAUAAUCUCAAAAUUCAUAUUUUUAUAAACUCAACAUUUUGAUAUAUCUACAUUAUUGGUAUGCAUUUAUAUAUGUAGAUGUAAUUGGUGUGGUUUUGCAAUGAUGGAAGACAAGUUAAAGGGGUCUGAAAUCUUGAUAUGUAAUGAAGACAAAAUAGAAUGUUCGACUACUACAAAUGUUGUAUAUAAAGAAAUUUUCCAAAAUUUAUAAUAAUAAGAUGAGAAGUUUCCAAUUGUCUUUUCAUGUAUUAUUAUUUUUACAUUGAUUUUUAUGUAAUUAAAAAUGAUAGUCUUAAAUAUAUUUUAGUAGUAAUAUAAUUGGUAUAACAAUUGUAUAAUAAAAUAUUUUUAAAAUUCAUUUAUUUUAGUGAUUAUACAAAAAUGUCUUCGAGAAUAUGUUACAAUAAAACUUUAACAACAUAUGUAAUCCCGUGCAUCGCACGGGUAAAACACUAGUAGGAGAAAAAGCGACAUUAGAUCCUUUGUUUUAUAUUCUUUUUUCAGAAAGCACAAUGAAGAGAAACAGGAGAAGUCAGCAGAAGUUGGCCUCUAACAAAAGCGUGUUGAAUUUUACACAUUUAGAUAUCCGAAAACGACUCGACUGUCCGAAAGCCAUGAC
rnacentral:lncRNA from 1 species